AGAGUUUGAUCCUGGCUCAGAACGAACGCUGGCGGCAGGCCUAACACAUGCAAGUCGAACGCCCUAGCAAUAGGGAGUGGCGCACGGGUGAGUAACGCGUGGGAAUGUGCCCUUGGGUGCGGAACAACGUCGGGAAACUGACGCUAAUACCGCAUAAUAUCUACGGAUCAAAGAUUUAUCGCCCAAGGAUCAGCCCGCGUUGGAUUAGGUAGUUGGUGGGGUAAUGGCCUACCAAGCCUACGAUCCAUAGCUGGUCUUAGAGGAUGAUCAGCNNGAUCAGCCACACUGGAACUGAGACACGGUCCAGACUCCUACGGGAGGCAGCAGUGAGGAAUCUUGGACAAUGGGGGAAACCCUGAUCCAGCCAUGCCGCGUGAGUGAUGAAGGCCUUCGGGUUGUAAAGCUCUUUCAGAUGUGAAGAUAAUGACGGUAGCAUCAGAAGAAGCUCCGGCUAACUCCGUGCCAGCAGCCGCGGUAAUACGGAGGGAGCGAGCGUUGUUCGGAAUUACUGGGCGUAAAGCGUAUGUAGGCGGUUUCGUAAGACAGAUGUGAAAUCCCAGAGCUUAACUUUGGAACUGCAUUUGUGACUGCAAGACUUGAGGAUCGGAGAGGUUGGCGGAAUUCCUAGUGUAGAGGUGAAAUUCGCAGAUAUUAGGAGGAACACCGAUGGCGUAAGCAGCCAACUGGACGAUUACUGACGCUGAGAUACGAAAGCGUGGGGAGCAAACAGGAUUAGAUACCCUGGUAGUCCACGCCAUAAACGAUGUGUGCUAGCUGCUGGGACUCUUAGAGUCUCGGUGGCGCAGCUAACGCCUUAAGCACACCGCCUGGGGAGUACGGUCGCAAGAUUAAAACUCAAAGGAAUUGACGGGGACCCGCACAAGCGGUGGAGCAUGUUCUUUAAUUCGAAGCAACGCGAAGAACCUUACCUACGCUUGUAUCCUGAUCGCGGCCUUUAGAGAUAGAGGCCUUCAGUUCGGCUGGAUCAGAGACAGGUGCUGCAUGGCUGUCGUCAGCUCGUGNNACUGCCGGUGAUAAGCCGGAGGAAGGCGGGGACGACGUCAAGUCAUCAUGGCCCUUACGCGUAGGGCUAGAAACGUGCUACAAUGGCAAUGACAGUGGGCAGCAACAUGGCAACAUGAAGCUAAUCUCCAAAAGUUGUCUCAGUUCAGAUUGUCCUCUGCAACUCGAGGGCAUGAAGCUGGAAUCGCUAGUAAUCGCAAAUCAGCAUGUUGCGGUGAAUACGUUCCCGGGUCUUGUACACACCGCCCGUCACACCAUGGGAGUUGGUUCUACCUGAAGGCGCUGCGCUAACCGCAAGGGGGCAGGCGACCACGGUAGGGUCAGCGACUGGGGUGAAGUCGUAACAAGGUAGCCGUAGGGGAACCUGCGGCUG
rnacentral:rRNA from 1 species